rfam:Brassica oleracea var. oleracea cultivar TO1000 chromosome C9, whole genome shotgun sequence
GGAUCAGUUGAUGAGCAAAUACUGCAACAAUAUGAACUAUAUGAUUAUUAGUAUUUUAUUUCUCUGAUGAUC